UGACAGUACCCAUGGCAACACUCCUGCCCUGGUCCAUGGGAGGAAGUGCACCAGCCCUCAGUCCCCUAAAUAGUGAAGGGCAGAGGCAGGCUCUGGUAUCAGGAGGAGAAACAUGGUAGUUGCAUAAGAAGGCAUAGUCAAACCCCAGGAUGGGAAGUUGGGGCGGGGUCUUGCCCUAGUGGUAGCAGUGCUCCUUCUCUGACACUGGAGGGGGAGGGCAGUGUUAGCACUUGACCCCAGCAGAAGCAGAAGCAGAAGCAGAAGCAAGGCAGUUCUCAAGAGCGGACAGCAGAGACUGGAAUCUGUGAAAGAAGUGUUGUCAUCUUUACUGUAGUCCUGAUAUUUCUGGUGCUAUGCCCUUCAUGAUCACCUCUUUGCCACAAGAGAUCCACUGUGAGCUACAAAGCCUUGGCAUCACCAACCACAUCAUUUAGAUUGAGAACUUGGUCCUUUGGAAGGGUGGAGAGAGCCUUCUCAUGUAAUAAAUUGUAUUUUGGGAGAGGAAAAAAGCACAACUAAUCAAUACAUUGAAAAAACCUGAAAAUCUGGGCAAUGUGUAACACCUGUGGACCUCCCACUUCCACAAAGGGGGAGAGUUCCUGGAAGAGCUCAAUGCUGUCCACUCCAGAAAUGGCUUCAACUUCCCUCAUACGCUGAGGACCUGCCAACGAACGUUCUUUGCAUGCUUCUGAACCAUUUCUUCAUUGGGCUUCUCAAACUGAAGCCAAGAGCUAAAUUUAAAGAAAAUUUCCAGUCUGACCAUCAAUAAUUUGUUAGUGUCUCGGUUUCCUCAUUUGUAAAAUGGGGAUAAUAGUGCCUGACUUCCAAGAUUGCUGCUGUGAGGCAUGCAAAAAGCGUUCCUCAGAUUUCAAAGCACCGUGUACAUAUUCGCUAUUUUUAUUUAUCUUCUGCUG
rnacentral:lncRNA from 1 species